rnacentral:rRNA from 1 species
AUGAUUGCUCUUAUCGGUAUGGCUCCUACCGAGGAGGAGGGAGAAGAGCCGAAGAAGAAGGAAAGGAAAGCAGCCGGAGCUGCUUUCACGUGGAUUCAAGCAAACUUUGCGCAUUGCCCUCCGGAUGCCACUGAUGAUGUGAUACAGACACAUGCUCGUGUCUACAUGUGGUAUGUUGUGUCGAGGACUUUGUUUCCUGAAUCCACUGGCAAGAACGCUCCAUGGAUGUGGCUGAAGGCGUUGACCGUCUUCGAUAGCAAAUGGAGCUGGGGUUCAGCGACUCUUGCCUACUUGUACCGACAGGUAGUUGGUCUGUUUUGUGAUCAACUCAUUUCUUCAUUAGCAAUGCAAGCUUGCUGUCAAGUUAACAUUGUUUUUCUUUCAUAUGCAGCUGGACGAUGCGUGUUGCAGGAUCACAGAUAG